GUGGAUUUGAGGUCAGACAAGUGCAAAGUCUGCACCUUGCUAAAUAUUGAGGCAGUGUCGUCGGGUAGAACUGAUAGAUUUAUUGCACUUUCUAGAGUGGAGGCUGACGUCUUCUGUUUUACUGCUGUUUCUGGACGCUCCCUUCUUCUUUGUGAUGUGCGGAAGCCAUUGAUGCCAUUGUUGCAGUGGGUACAUGGUCUGAAUAAUCCAGCUUACGUGACUGUUUUGAGAUUGUCUGACCUGAGGCGACGUACUAGAGAUGAUAAAUGGGCUUGGGCUACUGAAUCAGGGCGUUGCAUUUUGGUAGGAUCAUUCUGGGACUGUGAAUUU
rnacentral:misc_RNA from 1 species